rnacentral:rRNA from 1 species
CGGGGGGGGCAAGCGUUGUUCGGAAUUACUGGGCGUAAAGGGCUCGUAGGUGGCCAACUAAGUCAGACGUGAAAUCCCCAGGCUUAACCUGGGAACUGCGUCUGAUACUGGCUGGCUUGAAUUCGGGAGAGGGAUGCAGAAUUCCAGGUGUAGCGGUGAAAUGCGUAGAUAUCUGGAGGAAUACCGGUGGCGAAGGCGGCAUCCUGGACCGAGAUUGACACUGAGGAGCGAAAGCUAGGGGAGCAAACGGGAUUAGAUACCCCGGUAGUCCUAGCCCUAAACGAUGAAUGCUUGGUGUGACGGGUAUCGAUCCCUGUCGUGCCGAAGCUAACGCAUUAAGCAUUCCGCCUGGGGAGUACGGUCGCAAGGCUG